GCUCGGCAGCGGUGGCGGCGGCGGCUGCAGCUCCGGUCGAGCCGCGCGCGCUGCGACCCCGCUCCGCAGCCCGCUAGUCGCC
rnacentral:sRNA from 1 species